AAUGGGAUAACUGGGUCAAAUGGAGAUUCCAAGUUUUCUGAGGAAUCUCCAUAUUGCUUUCCAGAGUGGUUGCACCAAUUUGCAGUCCCACCAGCAAU
rnacentral:pre_miRNA from 1 species